rnacentral:tRNA from 1 species
AGGGAUAUCGCCAAUCCGGUAAGGCAGACGGCUGUUAACCGUCCAUAUGCAGGUUCGAGUCCUGCUAUCCCUGCCA